AACAAACGCUGGCGGCGUGCCUAAUACAUGCAAGUCGAACGGGGAAAGCUUUCGGGUGAGUACUAGUGGCGCACGGGUGAGUAACGCGUGGAUAAUCUGCCUUAGAGUGGGGGAUAACUAGUCGAAAGAUUAGCUAAUACCGCAUAAGACCACAAGAACUGCGGUUCAAGGGGUCAAAGGUUUUUCGCUCUAAGAUGAGUCCGCGUAAGAUUAGCUAGUUGGUGAGGUAAUGGCUCACCAAGGCGACGAUCUUUAACUGGUCUGAGAGGAUGAUCAGUCGCACUGGAACUGAGACAAGGUCCAGACUCCUACGGGAGGCGGCAGUAGGGAAGAUUGCUCAAUGGAGGAAACUCUGAUGCAGCGACGCCGCGUGAGUGAUGAAGGCCUUCGGGUCGUAAAGCUCUGUCGCAAGGGAAUAACACAAUGAAUGUACCUUGCAAGAAAGGAUCGGCUAACUUCGUGCCAGCAGCCGCGGUAAAAC
rnacentral:rRNA from 1 species